rnacentral:rRNA from 1 species
UACGUAGGGGGCGAGCGUUGUCCGGAUUUAUUGGGCGUAAAGAGCGUGUAGGCGGCCAGGUAGGUCUGCUGUGAAAACUCGAGGCUCAACCUCGAGACGUCGGCGGAAACCAUCUGGCUAGAGUCCGGAAGAGGAGAGUGGAAUUCCUGGUGUAGCGGUGAAAUGCGCAGAUAUCAGGAAGAACACCGGUGGCGAAGGCGGCCUGCUGGGCAGUUGCUGACACUGAGGCGCGACAGCGUGGGGAGCAAACAGG